ensembl:lncRNA
CUCAAAUUGCAAGGGGGCUGGCCCACAUGGGAGAAUGUUUAGGGAAAAUGGCACAGCGUGACUUUCAAACAAGAGAUUUAGUGGCUAAUUGAAGUAAGACAGUAGUUCUGCUCAGAGGAUGCAUGUAUGAACUACACAUUGACACCAGCAGCUCAAAGCGGGAGGUUUAAAAAAUACUUACAAAUCGCCAAAGUUCCAGAGCAUGUCCUUAAAGUAGGAGAAUUAAGUAUUCUCAUAGCUUCACAUGGCUGAUCGAAUAAGACGAGAUGGAGGCCGGGAGAGAAGAGCAUUUCUUCAGGGUCCUCUUGGACAUGGUGGGUAUGGACAAGCUGAAGACGUGGGCUGCAGUGAACCAUGGGGCCAUCGUGCUCUGUUGUGCCGAUGGGAGUGUUGCCGAGGAGAUCAGGGAGGUAUUAAAGGCCUACUACGCUUCAGAACUGUAAAGGAGUGGAAGUUCUGCUGAAGAAACUGGCCUGAUACAGAUACCAUCUCACCAAAAUUGACCCCCUCUGAGACAUUUCACCAACUAUUGUGACCUCACCAACUGGAGUCACAGGUUCUCAUAACUGUCCCCCCCAGUCCUUUGACCUGACCAUCCUGGUAAAAUCCCUACUAUGACAUGAAGAUGGAAAGAAAUACUGAUUUGUACUGCCUUUUGUCAAAUUCAUUUAGGUGUGCUUGUUUGUAAAGCGGUGGAGCAAGUAUUUAAAUGUAAAAGGCACAAAUACUGGCAGUGUUUUUGUAUAAUCUUGUACAACUCAUACCGAUCAGUUACUAGCUGACCCAGGAGCUGGAAUUAACUAAAAGAAAACAUGUUAUUGCAACACAAACUAUACAUUGGCAGAGAAUGUCAGUAAGCAAAUUUCCCCCCAAAAUGUUUCUCAUCUAUAGAAUAUUAACCCUGAUGGUUUGUGUGUCGUCACCUUUAUGCCACGUUAAAUCACCAAGCCGUGGUCCGGUCUGGUAGUCUCCUCAUCUAUGACGGAAGGAAGCCUGCAUUCUCACUAGCAAAUUCAUUUAGUGGGCCCUGCUCAGGUUCCAUCUGUCCUGGUGUCUGAUCCGGACAGACCCAGUCAGACGAAACGGCUUAUUUCUUCCAGAGACCUCACAUUCUUCUAAUCAGUAGAGGAUUAUCAAUGGCUGCCUGUGUGGCUACUAUUUGGGAGGUUUAGGCUCAUGGCAGUAGUCGGACUUGCACUACUUUAGAGAAUUUUGUUGACCAGUGAAGACAAUUUGGGAAUCAAAUCA